rnacentral:rRNA from 1 species
UACGUAGGGGGCUAGCGUUGUCCGGAAUCAUUGGGCGUAAAGAGCGUGUAGGCGGUCCGGUAAGUCCGCUGUGAAAGUCGGGGGCUCAACCCUCGAAUGCCGGUGGAUACUGUCGGGCUAGAGUGCGGAAGAGGCGAGUGGAAUUCCUGGUGUAGCGGUGAAAUGCGUAGAGAUCAGGAGGAACACCCGUGGCGAAGGCGGCCCUCUGGCUCGACCCUGACGCUGAGGCGCGAAAGCGUGGGGAGCGAACGGG